GGAUCUGGGUUCUGUUGGACCCCAAAAGGUUCCGUGGAGCUCAGUGGGAUCCGUGGUCCCCGAUGGGUUCUGGGGACCCCAAAGGGUUUGAGGGCCCCUGAAGGGUUCCAGGGACCCCCCGCGUCCUGUGGACCCCAAAGGCUUCUCCAGAGCCCCAGGUUCUGCUCAGCCCCAAAGUGUUCCAGAGACCCCAAAAGGAUUUUAUGGACCCCAAAAGGAUUUUAUGGACCCCAAAGUGUUCCAGAGACCCCAAAAGGAUUUUAUGGAUCCCCCAAAAGGAUUUUAUGGACUCCAAAGGAUUUUGUGGACCCCAAAAGGAUUUUAUGGACUCCAAAGGAUUUUAAGGACCCCAAAAAGGAUUUUAAGGACCCCAAAAAGUUCUCCGGCCCCGAUGGAUUCUAUGGCCCCAAAGGGUUCGACAACCCCACAGCUCGAAGGUCACCGGGGUUUUAUGGCCCUGGGGUUUUAUGGCCCCGAGGUUUUAUGGCCCCCGGGGUUUUAUGGCCCCCGAGGUUUUAUGGCCCCGGGAUUUACACCCCGAUGCGUGAAAGUGCCUCCAUAAAGAUUUGGGAACUUUUAUGGCCUCGGUGCCUUCCUGGGACAGCGAGGGCGGGGUGGGAGCGGGGCGGGGGGAGAGAAAUGGGGGCGGUUCUGGGACCCCCAGGGACCCCCCUGAUCCUAUGGGACCCCCCUGAUCCUAUGGGACCCCCAGGG
rnacentral:lncRNA from 1 species